CAAACCUGAGAGAAAAGAAAAGA
rnacentral:piRNA from 1 species